AGAUUGAACGCUGGCGGCGUGCCUAACACAUGCAAGUCGAGCGGUAACAGGUGUAGCAAUACAUGCUGACGAGCGGCGAACGGGUGAGUAAUGCUUCGGAAUCUACCUUAUGGUGGGGAAUAACUAGCCGAAAGGUUAGCUAAUACCGCAUACGUCCUACGGGAGAAAGCAGGGGAUCGCAAGACCUUGCGCCAAAAGAUGAGCCGAAGUCGGAUUAGCUAGUUGGUAGGGUAACGGCCUACCAAGGCGACGAUCCGUAGCUAGUCUGAGAGGACGACCAGCCACACUGGACUGAGA
rnacentral:rRNA from 1 species